rnacentral:rRNA from 1 species
UGGGGAAUUUUGCACAAUGGGGGAAACCCUGAUGCAGCGACGCCGCGUGAUUUAGAAGGCCUUCGGGUUGUAAAAAUCUUUUCUAUGGGAAGAAAAUGACAGUACCAUAGGAAUAAGGACCGGCUAAUUACGUGCCAGCAGCCGCGGUAAUACGUAAGGUCCGAGCGUUGUCCGGAAUCAUUGGGCGUAAAGGGUACGUAGGCGGGUAAGCAAGUUAGAAGUGAAAUCCUGUAGCUCAACUACAGUAAGCUUUUAAAACUGCUCAUCUUGAGAUAUGGAAGGGAAAGUGGAAUUCCUAGUGUGGCGGUCAAAUGCGCAGAUAUUAGGAGGAAUACCGGUGGCGAAGGCGACUUUCUGGCCAUAAACUAACGCUGAGGUACGAAAGCGUGGGUAGCAGACAGG